UACGAAGGGGGCUAGCGUUGUUCGAUGAAUCUGGGCGUAAAGCGCACGUAGGCGGACUAUUAAGUCAGGGGUGAAAUCCCGGGGCUCAACCCCGGAACUGCCUUUGAUACUAGUAGUCUCGAGUCCGGAAGAGGUGAGUGGAAUUCCGAGUGUAGAGGUGAAAUUCGUAGAUACUCGGAGGAACACCAGUGGCGAAGGCGGCUCACUGGUCCGGUACUGACGCUGAGGUGCGAAAGCGUGGGGAGCAAACAGG
rnacentral:rRNA from 1 species